rnacentral:tRNA from 1 species
GCCGAUGUAGCUCAGUUGGUAGAGCGCCGGUAUCGUAAACCGAAGGUCGUGGGUUCGAUUCCCACCAUCGGCU